UAAAACCAAUUGGCAAUAGGUGGA
rnacentral:siRNA from 1 species